rnacentral:rRNA from 1 species
CCUACGGGUGGCAGCAGUGGGGAAUAUUGCACAAUGGGCGAAAGCCUGAUGCAGCAACGCCGCGUGAAGGAAGAAGGCCUUCGGGUCGUAAACUUCUGUCCUUGGGGAAGAAGAACUGACGGUACCCAAGGAGGAAGCCCCGGCUAACUACGUGCCAGCAGCCGCGGUAAUACGUAGGGGGCAAGCGUUAUCCGGAUUUACUGGGUGUAAAGGGAGCGUAGACGGCAAGGCAAGCCAGAAGUGAAAGGGCAGGGCUCAACCCUGUACAUGCUUUUGGAACUGUGGUGCUAGAGUGCAGGAGAGGUAAGUGGAAUUCCUAGUGUAGCGGUGAAAUGCGUAGAUAUUAGGAGGAACACCAGUGGCGAAGGCGGCUUACUGGACUGUAACUGACGUUGAGGCUCGAAAGCGUGGGGAGCAAACAGGAUUAGAUACCCGGGUAGUC